rnacentral:tRNA from 1 species
CCCUUGAUAGCUCAGUUGGUAGAGCGUGAGACUGUAAUGGAAACCCCACAUAAUUAUGUAAUCUCAAGGUCACUAGUUCGAUCCUGGUUCAAGGGA